AAUCGUCCCCUCGAGCGCCUCCCAGCUGACAGGCUAACCUGAAAUCUGCCAGCCAUAGUUCUAGCUUGGUCUCGUCGUUGUACUUUGCAAUGCUGGUCGGGGGUCGGAACGGGCUGGGCAGCGGCGUGCUGCGGAUUGCCCUGCUGAACACCCGCGGGCCCGGUGGUUCCGGGGCCAUCCGGUCCUCAUCGCUGUCGUACCUCCCGCCGCGGUGGGCGCUGUAACCACGCUCUUUUGCGUCCCCAUACCGACAGCUAUGAUUCUUGUCGAUGUCGCACCGUGCGUCGUGUCGUCAUUGGUUGUCGACGGGGAGGACGAGCGUGGCCUUUUUCCCUCGAGGGGGUGGCUGCUGAUGGACCGAUACCUCCUUUUCGUUGUGGGUCGGCUCAUCACGCUUUUCUGUGGCCGCUCCUCGACGUCGAGAGGCCGAGCUCUCGGCCUGCUGAACUGCCGCCACUUGGAGCAGAGUCUGCACCUCGUCCCGAAUGCGUCGUGCUUUGGAGUCUGACGGUUCGGGCAUAUUACGCAGCAGCAUUGUCACCGCCACGACGUUCUGGCCUGCUCGAGGGAAACGGCUGACAGGCUGCUCAGGCUCUCCGUCUCCGACGAUCUGCUGGUGCACCUCUCGAGCCCGUAUGCAGACACUUCCGCCGGGUGGGUAUGGUAGGUCCUGCUUAAGGAUUUGCUCGAGCAAGACGAGGCGCUCACGAUCUUCGUCAAGCUUUGUCUUGAGCUCUCGUAGCUGCGCAAGUUGCGCGGCUCUGUCUUCUUGUGGAGCGGGGUCGACUUGACCGUCAUUCCCAGGCGUCCUGGGGUCUUCCCUUGCUGCGGGGGCUCGACCGCCAGCAACAGCAUCCUAUGUCUCGUCGGUGGUUUCCACCGCCCCGUUGAUAUGGAAGCAUUCCCUAGUAGGGUCGUAACUGUCGGUCUAGGAGUCGGAGUCUGGCUCGACGGCGUAGAAACAUCCACCUCCCUCCACUAACAGGCGUUGCCUGAGUAAGGUGAUCGUGUAUCGCCCAGGCCCUAGGCGACGGAGACCUCAUACCUGGGAGAAGUCCGGCAGCUCGGAUGUCUGUCGCUGCACUCCAGAGUCACGUGGGAGGACCAUUGGUCUCUCCACGUACGUCUGGGCGUUUGGACAUAUCGUCCUGGCGAGCGAUGCCGCGGCAUUGUCCAGACCGAACGGCAACGCUAUUCUUGGGGCGAACAGCCCAUGAGGGAGUAGCCUAGCGGUGGGGGAGAGCGCGCGGGGCGCGUCACCUCCUGUCGUCGUGCAAUCCUCAUGGCUCUGAGCCGUCAUACCCGCGGUUUCGGCGUGCGGGGCUAUCGGCUCCUGUGCCACCUCCUGCCUAGCACGAACUGUCGGUCGUGAUGAGGUAGAAGGGCGAUGGCGGUGCUGUCCACGCCUCUUCUUGGGCGGGGAGGCGUGGUGGCGAGGACGUCUUGGGGCCCUCAACCGUGUUGGCACAACGCGGGCUCCUCCCGGUCCUUUGAUCGAGAGUAGGAUCAUGUCAUAGCCGGAGCCAGUAGACAUGAACUCGAGACUCCCAAACCAAAUCACCGUGGAGCGUGGAAUCGGCGAAGUGAGAGUGGCCAUCUGGAAAGGAAUGGGAAAUCGGUGAAAAAACACGCAGGACCCCUACCUGGCGCGCCAACUGUCGGUGUUUUCCCCUCGAGGGGUCACACCAACGAGUAAAUUUGUAUGCGUGGUCCCUUUUCCAGAUGGUGAUGCAAAAAGACACAAAGAUUUAUCCUGGUUCGGGCAAGAGAAGGCCCUACGUACAGCGGGGGGAGAGUUUGUAUUAUUCUGCACCUAAGUGCUUGUACAGGGGUGAAUACAAGCGGGUAUGAACUAGGAUGGAGGUGGAGUAUGGGAGCUCUACUACGUGUGUGUUGUGUGAUGUUGUGUUGUAUCGCCCUUGUAUCCGCUCCCGGGCCUCCCCUUUUAUAGUUCCAAGGAGAGACCUAGGGUACAUGCAUAGGCGUCACAGUAGGGGUCGAUAGAGGCAUGGCACGCUGACCUACUCGAGGCCUCCGUACCGGUGUGGUUUCGAGCCAUCUUGUCCUAGUAGCUUGAUGAUGAUUACGCGUGCCUCGGUAUCCCGCUCUGCGCGCCGUCCUGGGUUGGUUUAUCUGUUGUAUGCUUGUACGUCGCGGCAGCGUCUGCGUUGGAGUGGUUGAGGUGCUGUCACCCGUCGCCCAACUCUUCUCCAGGAAGGAAAUGUGCCUACUCGAGGGUCGGAUGUUGUAUAAUGCCUUGCCAGCCAGGGCGCUGACCUUAGACGUCUCGAGGGGGGUCUUGAUUAGACGUUCCGACCCACUCCCUGCGUCCUGCCACGUUCUGGCUUAUUUAGUGGGGAAGGCUGCAAAAAGAAUGACGGGACGGGUGCCUGUUCCCUAUCACGCUUCCUGUGACCUGCGAGUUAGGUGAGAACGCGGAAGGCGCAUUAAAUGCCCUGGUUCCUGUGCCCGCGUCAGGCGACGGGCGGCGUCCUUGCGCUCGACGCCUUCCAAUUUGCUCGAGCCAGUUUCCGUAUUCGACGGUAGCCUGCGCUCGAGCUCUGAUCGAUUCGCAGGACGCCCAUUCCGUCUUCGAGGCUGCAGUCAUCGAGGCCCGUACGUGUGACUGGGUAGAGCGUCGAGUUGGAGGCCUCGACUUGCGUACGGGUGUUCUUGUUAUGCACAUCAGUUAGGGUACCCCUUACUGAUAUCCUCGACAAUGCUUGGCUUAGUUAGAUUGGAAUUAUAUACAUGUUUAGGAUCGUAUAGCGUUUAUCCAUGUGUACAGUGGGUAAAUGAUAAGUACUGUGUAGGCGUGGUGCCUAUACCGUAUUUAUCUGCGAUUGUACCCUAUAUACUAGAUCGCAGGGUAGUUCAUGGUAGUGAUAGCUCCAUUGAUUCUUAUAUAGUCCCCCUCUCGUGUAUAGGGCUGGUAGAGCAACAUUAUUACAGGGGAGUGAUUGCUAUGUUUCUCAUCUUCCUUGAUAAUAUCACUAUGCAUGGGCGUAGUUCUAUCUCGCAAUGAUUGCCAAGUAUAAUUGCACUAACUAUGAUAUGCUAGACUUUAUAGUUAAGAAUAACUUAGGAAAUAUUCUUGUAGUUCGUCCUAAUUCCAUGCUAAUGACUUGCUAGAAUAUCUAUUGAGGUGCUUAUCAUAUUUAUAUGUGGCUAAGUUAUGCUGAUCAGAUUAAUUAUCUUUGUCACCAUUCAUACUUUAUCUGUAUCUUAUGUGACACUUAUCCCUGUAUGAAAGAGAUAGAUAAAUGCUCUCAAUUAUACAUGCAAUGAUAGAUACUCAAUUCUAUAUUCUAUUCCAUAAUCAACAUUGAUGAUUAGAAAUCCCUUCGCAGUGGUAAAAAUAUAAAUAACGAUACCUGGAAUACUUCCCGGUUAAAAUGCUACAUCGGUAUUAAUCUGUGCGCUUGCAGAUCUCAUUUAUUAUUUAUUUAGAAGAGCAAUUGCAUAUUUCAAUACCGCAUCUCUCAUGUCAUGCUAGGGAUGACAACUUGGCUUAUGUGGCAUCAGGGAUAGGUUUGGCAUUUUUGGCGUCGUUAUCAGAAUUAGAAAACUAAGUCUACUUUUGGUAGUGACGGUAAGAAUGCCCAACACUCUAGCUGCCUCUUCAACCUAAGCGAGGUGGACACGAUGCAAAUAGGUUAGCGCGAACAACCAAUGAAAUGACGACGAUGACAGUAAGGUCUAAGAAUCUUACCCCACAGGAAGGAUGGUCCUCCUCCCAGUCCCACGAUCGACCGGCCUCGAGCCGCCAUGCGUCGAGGCCCUUGGCUGUUCCAAGACGGGAGCAUGCCUCGGCUUCGCUCUUCCUUCUGGACGAUCCUCAGGGCUCACGCUUCUUUGACACCCUCCUCCCUGGCUCAGGGCCACCGCGGCAGCGCGGCCCCGUUCUAGAGGUCUUGACCUGAUAGCCUGGACCGGACGCUUGGGGAGGUCGUGGCAGCAGGUCGGCCUGACCCCGGGUAGUGGCAGGGGGCGUGUCGGCACGCGGGCAGCGAGGCGACGUCUCCCUCCGGCGACCCUCAUGUUCCCCGCCUUGCGAUCCCUUGGGAGCCACCAUGCGCGACAAGGAAACGUCGGCAUGCGGAGGGGCCUGCAGAAUCCGGUCGAGGCGGGCCGCCAUCCCCUCAGAAUCAUCAUCAUCAUCGAAGUCAUCAUCGUUGUCCUCAUCAGGAGAGUCCUCCUCGGGCCUCCCCUCACGCCUCACCUGGCCCCGACGCUCCUCGAGCGCCUGCCGCUCGAGGUUCUUCCUCUUCUCCUUUUUCUCCACGUCUCGCGCGGUCUUGUGCUUCUCGACAGAAGCACGCCUCGUCUCGUGCUCGGCAUCAUCCUCUUUCACUGGGGGCCUGGAGGACCUAGCGUCGAUCGCCCCCUUGCAAAACAAACCAAAAUCUCAAGAAAAUUAGAAAGGAAGCGGCGGAACCGAAAGCAAGGGCCAAGUGGCAGUGGCUUGAGAGGCUUACUAGGUCAAAGUAGCCUUCAUCAAGCUUCAUGGGGAAGGUAUUCACGUGCUCAGGCUGGAAGUCACCCGAGACGGCCGCCCUGACCCUAGCAGUGACCUCCUCAUCUGGGAGCGCCUCGUUCGACAUUCGGCACGCUUCAAGGUCCCAGGACGGAGCGCAGGGGGCAUCUUGUCCAUCCUCAGCGGUCGAGACAUCAACGAAAGGACCCGUCGAUGGUGGACCGCUGAGAGAACGAGAGCCGCGGUCAGGCCUUCCUCGCGUAGACACUUUAGGGCCUUGAGAAGGGGGCAAAGCCGAGACUGAUGGGUCUUGAUGACGACGUACUUCCAAUCUUCAGGGCGUUCCUUGAUAAGUCGCCCGGUGUAGGUGGGGCAGAGUCCAUCGUCGUUGUAGAGAUAGAACCACUGAGAGUCCCACUAUGCAUGGUUCGAUGUCAGCCCAGUAGGGAUAUACUCUCUAUGCUCAUCCGCGCGGCCCGUCUUCUGGACCAGGUUGAGGCAGUCGGCCCGCACCAGUUUCCUCACCACAGUGGCCCCGCCAGGAGCGUGGAACAGCUCACCCCGGAAGAGGUGGAGCCACAACUCCCAGUGCGGCAUCACUCCCAUGUAGCCUUCACACGCCGCGACGGAGAUUGUGUUGGGGGAGAAAUGCUGGAGCUCGAUGUCGUAGUGAUGAAGGAGGGCCCUCAUAAAGCGGCUCGGAGGAGACCCGAGCCCGUGGUGAUGGAACGUGAUGAAGGAGACGACGUAGCCUUCGGGUGGGCUCGGCUCCCGAUGCUCCGCCGGCAGCGUGAUCCAUUCUGGCCACGUCGAGGAAGCGAGGGGGCGGAGAAGCCCCUCCUUCUCCAAAUCCCGUAGCCGGCGCUCCGUCACGGUCGAUGGACGCCACUUGUCAGCGGCGAUGAGUCUCACCGGCAUCGUCACAAGCAAGGAAGGCGCGACAGAAGGUGACCCUACCCUGACUAUCCCCCCUCUCUAAGCUCGGUUUGUCUUGGUACGUAGGAAGAUGCGAAGAGAAAGGAAAGGAGGGUGAUGGCGGAAUGCGGAAGGGGAAACAGUGAGUUGGAACCUCGAUAUAUAUAGGCGCACCGCAACGGAUAGAUCUGACAUUCACGGUAACCCCCACCAUCAAUGCGCCGCCUAACGGUCCCGUUUCGCCAGCAACGGGACGUUACGAAUUCCACCCAACGGGUAAUACCACAAUAGCUAUCCUAAAAAGACGCGCCCAAUGGGCAAGAAAACAAACCACCGCGGCGUUUCCUUCCAUCACAAGAUAAGUCUGGCGCGCACCGCCGGCAGAACCUCAAGGGAGCACAGACUGGCCCACCGACUGGGUUCAACGGUCGCCCUCGAGUACCUGAGUCAGGGACACCUAGCUGGAGGUUGAAAACGAGGCAUGCCUCGAGAACCCGCUAGGAGUAUCCAAGGCAGAGGCAAGUAGGUCAUGAGGAAUCCCCACGGAGGGAGGCAUCGAGCUGCUGGACUCUAUCGAACGAGACCGGUAUCCCUGACCACGCUAGCCUAGCUUUAACGAGAGCGCCUCUGGACUACAGCCAUCCCCAUCGAACGGGGCAUGGGUUCUCGCUUGGAUCACCCAAUGAAAGCUCACCAAGAACGAUGAUGAUCGCUCCAUCGGGAGUACAUCACGCUCCUCGACCCGAAAGGGAAAACCAGCGAACGCGAGUUGAAGACGACGGGAACCAUGAGCGAACAAGGCCCAGGGGCUCCAUCCUAGAAUUAACGUCCCUCAGCUAAAGGGAGGCCGAAGACGCACAAACCCGAAAAGCAAUACAGCCCUCGAAGGAGUCCAUGGCCUCGGGGGCUACCCCUGCGGGGGUCGCUCGCGCGACUCCCACGGAAAUACGACCAUCAGUAAAACCCCUGCUCAAGCACAAGUGUUCAAACAAUGGCUUGGGGGCUACUGUCGAGGGUGUCAAUAGGGGGGUAUCCCAGCAAACAUUCCUGAUGAAAAGAUCCAAAGACAACUUGAGGGUUAGGCUCAACAAUUCAGUGUAAACAUAAGCUCGUGGACGCCAUGGCUCGACCCACCACGCGAUGUCGACCCUGGCCUCGAAUACGGAAAUACAGUUGAGGGAAUGGACAAGGGCUCGAUAGCUGGUGACCGUCGAUUACGGAAACAAGCGUCGAGCGAAUCGACAGGCCUCGAGCGCAAAAGCGUUCCCCCGCCGCCUAUCGCAAGUACGGGAGUCAGGGCAUUUAAUGCGACUGACAUGCUCCCACCUAACCCGACAAUCACGAGAAAUGUGAUAGGGGAACGUGCACCCGACAAAUCUCCACUUUCCCAGCUUUAUCCCCAAAACCAGAAAAAGGUACACGCAGGUACAGCGCCAUAGGCGUAAUAUCCCAUCAAAGGACCCCUCGAGGCGAUAAGGUCAGCACUCCUGUACGCCGAGAGCCAAUGAUACACCUGGACCCUCGAACAUGCCCGCUCCUUCCCAGAGAAGGGUUAGGCGUCGGAAGUCAGCGCUCCAACCACCCCAGACAUGACGACUGCUGCGAUGUAUAGGCAUGCAUGUACACGAGCCAAUACCAGACGAUGCACAGGGGAUAAGCUCAGGAGGUGCACGCACCAUCAUCACCAAAGUACAUCGUAACAAGACGGCACGAGGCCACGCCGGUACAGAGGCCUCGAGUAGGUCAGCGCCAUACCUCUAUCGAGGCCUAUUCAAGACACCCAUACCUUGUAACCUAAGCCUCCCCUUGGAACUUUAAAAGGGGACACUGGGGACAAUACAAAGGGACAACUCACAUAGAACAUCAUCCAUACACACCCACAACCGGCUAGGACUUAGAAUUCUCAGCUGAAUCCGCUUGUAUUUGCCCCUAUACAAGCACUUAGGUGCAAAAUAAUACAUACUCUAUCCCCCGCUGAAUGUAGGGCCUUCCUUUGCCCGAACCAGGAUAAACGCUUGUGUCACUCUUGUAUAACCAUCCGGAAAGAAGAGCAUGCACACAAAUUCACUCGUUGGUGUUGUCCCCCGGGGUCAAAACACCGACAAGCCUAAAGAAAAAGAAGGAAAUUAGACAAUAAAUUGUUGUGGUUCAAUAAAUAAAACAAACCAAAGUUUUAGAGUAGCAUCCCUUGGCGCACAUAUUUUAGUUUGUGGUCUGAAACUAAUAAGGAAAGAAAAUGGCACGAGUUGAGACAGAAUUUCACUUUACUGCAUGAGAACCCCACAGUGAAAGAUGCACCGUCACAGUACCAGACCUUCACUCUAUUCAAGUUAUAGAAAAAUAUAAUGAAGAUGACAUAACCACAAACAAUAACUAAAUAAUCAAUAAAAAUAUACUGUUUUGGUGUCAGCAAAACCCUUGCAUGAAAACUUAUCUGCAAUAUCUUAAGUUAAUCCUUGAAAACUACAGAAAAGAGGGCACAAUAGCAGCUUCGACAUUGCACCAUAAAUUGCCACAGGCACAUCCUAUCAAAUUCUCAUACACUAUCAUCAGUUGAGACAUAUCUUUUUUUUUCCUAAUUUGUGAUUGCUUUUUCAUUGGCCAAUUCAGAAUGGAAGUUCAUUAACUAAUGCGGUUGUUCCUAAACUAUCAGUGUGAUUACACAUUACUAAUGAACAUCACGAAAACUUAUAAGAAAAGAUGAGCAAAGCAUCCACAGCUUACAGGAAUGUGGAACCUAUCUACAGAAAUUAAACGAAAAGAAAACACAUUCACCAAAGAUGGAAACUAUCUUUAAAUAAGCAAAUUUGAGAGGAUCUGACGUGAAUAUAUAACGCCUCCUACUUCUACCAUAAUCUAAUUAACCUUUAGCAUCAAUAAGGCCCUAAUUAUAAGGUCAAAGGUCAUUUUCUCACGGGAAAUAGCCAGACAAGAUCAAAGGGAUAGGGAGAAGAAAUUUCAGUUCUCAAUGAGGAACAAGAGAUUGUCCUCAUCAGCAAACUUGGGGAGUAGUAUGGCCUUUGAUCUGUCCGACCUUUGGCCAACGGAGAGCAGGCGCGGCAGGCGCCGCCAGAGAGCAGGUCUGGCGUGCCCACGCGGGUCAUGAUCGCCACCAGAACACGAGGAGGGGCAGGACGAAGACGACACGGGACGGGCCAUGGCAGCGGCGGCGGCAGCGCGGCCUUGCGGCGCGAUGGGGGCGGAGUGCGGGGGGCACAGGCCACGGGGUAUUGGCAAUUUCUUCCUUUACCACCGUAGAGACGGGCCGAGGGAUCGGGGUUCGGGGAUUGGGAUUUUGGGAAGGAAGGCGAGGGCGAGGGUUGAGGGAUCACGGUCCCACCUGCUGAAGCGAUGGGGGUGGAGUGUGGGAUCGCACGGGGGCACAAUAAGGCGACCCAUCAAAAGUCACACCAAAUAAUAGUCUUAGUUUUGUUCUUUUUAGUUAUAGGAGAUAGCUCUACUUCCAUUGAUUUGAUGAAAAAAGGUUGGGGCCACCGUGGUUUUCCGACCGAACAUGAACCUGACACGUCAUCUAGCGAAGCAUCUGCACUAGUCACGAGGGACGAAGUCAAAAAAAAAAAUAGGAGGAUAAACAAAAGUGCUAUAUCUACUUAGCUCUAAUAUAAGCCCUCACAAUAGAAAAAAUAUAUUAGCUUAAUGUAGUCUUAUAUUAAAACAUCGAUCAAUGACGAAAUUUAUAAAAUAUAUCUAAAAUAUAAAGGUUUCAGCUCACUCUAUCUUAUAAAUUUGUGUCUAAAAUUAUAAAAAAGCGCUAAAAGCUUCACUGGCCCAGCAGCGGCGACUCACAAUCACUCAAAUUUUGUGGAAACAAUUUCCUAAAAUUUCUAAACCCACUGUACCCUCGCCAACAAAAACAAAAUCAGCGCCACGCACGCGUCCACCUGCACGAAUCGCGACGCAAGAUCUGUCCACCAAACUUGCCCUCCGUGAAGCACAUAGCGAGCCGCCGCUCAACAGUCAUCCCUUUCCCCUCCUCCAUCUCGGUCACACGCAUACGCACCUAGGAGAGACACCGAGCGAGCGAAGCCAUGGCUCUCCGUACCCUGGCAUCGAAGAAGGCCCUAUCCUUCGCGCUCGGCGGCGCGGCCCGGCCGUUGGCGGCGUCCGCGAGGGGGGUGACGACGGUCACGCUCCCCGACCUCUCCUACGACUUCGGCGCGCUGGAGCCGGCCAUCUCGGGGGAGAUCAUGCGCCUGCACCACCAGAAGCACCACGCCACCUACGUCGCCAACUACAACAAGGCGCUGGAGCAGCUCGACGCCGCCGUCGCCAAGAGCGACGCCUCCGCUGUCGUCCAGCUCCAGGGCGCCAUCAAGUUCAACGGCGGCGGUGAGUCACGGACCUGUACUCGCCCCACAUCUAUCCCCUUCUAGGGUACCGUACUUGUUUUAUUGGAGGGGAUUAUUAUCACAUCAUGGCGGGGCGAAUUUGAUGGGUUCGAUGGGGUUUUAGUGCGCUUUUGUUGCCGAUCUCGAGUGAUCUGAGUGCGGGAGGGGAGUAUGUUGACCUCCCUGAUUUCGGGUUGGCCCUAUGCCCUGAGGUUUUCAGGUGGGUGUGCUGGAGAUUUUCUCAUAGAUCACGAAUGCAGAUUCAGAUGGACCAUCCAAGGCUCGAUGGUAUCCAAUUAGGAUACAUUUUGAGUUUUCCCCUCUCUAUUAUUAGUGCUUGUGUAACAGUCGUAUUUUCUAGAUGGGUUCGUGGUACCAUAAGGGUUGUCUUGUCUCUAUUUUUUGUUUGUUUGAUGUCUCGUCUCUGUUAUUAUCAUGUGGUUUUGGUAUUGUUUAUUUUGCUGCAUCUUGCUGUAUGACUCUUCUUUACUGUAUUGUUCUCAUGUUCAUAAGAACUGGUUUAGUUCUUCUUGUUGUGCAGGAAUCAGUGUUAUUUGGUUGGCUAUUACUGUUAGAGCUGCAGUUGCUGAUGUUCAGACCUAUAAAGUGGUUUCAUGGGAUGUCCUCACACUUGUGCACUAUGAGCUACAUUUAGUUCCUUUCCUGCUCGAGCAUACCCCUAACUUUCCUGAGGUUAUGGCUAUAUUGUACUCCCUGCGUUCCAAAUUGUAAGUCGUUCAGGCUUUUCUAGGUACAUAGCUUUUGCUAUGCAUCUAGAUAUACAUUAUGUCUAGAUCUAGAAAAGCUAGAACGACUUACAAUUUGGAAUGGAUGGAGUACUUGUUUGUGGAACACUGAACCUGUUCAUUUUGUUUUGUAAGCUGCAGCCUGUUAAACCCUUCUCAUUAGUAAAGUUGGUUUAAGCACAUCUUGUUGGGCUAGAUUGAUGAGUGGUGAAGAAGCCCCUUACCACUUGUUGGCAAGAUGCUCAUUGGCCUAUUUUACUUGUUCAUGAGCAUGGCAUGCUAACCUUCUGAUUUUGUUCACAUGUAACCUUUUGGGAAGAUUUCCUUGUAUUGAGAUUGCCAACUAAUUGUUCCUCUGCUCUAGAAUUUUACUAAGAUAAUUAUCAUCUUUCAGGUCAUGUGAACCAUUCAAUCUUCUGGAAGAACCUCAAGCCUAUUAGCGUAAGUAUCAUGUUAAGAAAAUUGGUUGUUUCAACUGUGAUUCUUUUCCUUUUUUGUGUUGUUUUAUGAAAAAUUGCUGCAUAUUGGAUGCUUUGCAGGAAGGUGGUGGGGAGCCACCUCAUGGGAAACUUGGCUGGGCCAUUGAUGAGGAUUUUGGUUCGUUUGAAGCACUUGUAAAGAAGAUGAAUGCAGAAGGCGCUGCUUUACAGGGAUCUGGAUGGGUGGUGAGUACACUAUGCUUUGUUUAUGUUUAUCCAGAAUAGUCGAAGAUGUGUUCUGUUGACCAUGAAUCUCAUGCUUCCCUGCAGUGGUUAGCUUUGGAUAAAGAGGCAAAAAAGCUUUCAGUUGAAACUACAGCUAAUCAGGUGAAAGAUGUUUUCCAAUCAGUUUAUUCUUCCUAUGAUACAGCACACGGCUAUGCCCAGUUCUCAUUCAGAGUUGUGUUUUGUUCCAUAGGCAAGCUUAACAGACACAUGCCAUCUUGCAUGCUGCAAUUGUUGUUGAUUGUGAUUAUAUGCAGGCCUUCCAUUUGUAUGCAUGCUUAAGAAAGGUAUCACUAAUAUGAGAUAAGAAAGAAUUAGAAAAUAUAGUCAUCAAAAUAAACAUCUAAUGGCAAAUGAUAGUUGAAUUGCUUAUGAUAUUGUAUCAAAAAGGGUGCGGUUGGAGACCAAGUGAUUUACUUUAAUCUGUUAACCAAUCUGUAAUUUAUUUGCUGACCAAAAUAAUUUUUAUAACUAUAAGGCCAUUAGCAGGGCCACUGAUUUCCUUUUCUUUGUUGAACUAACCCCUUUUUCUUAGAGAACUGAUCCCAUCCCCACCCUCCCUCUUUCUUUCUCAUUCUGUGGUUUCUUUGUGGGGAUGCAGCUGGGUUCAGAGACAAAGUGGUGCCUUGUGCUUCCUGCCUUCUAGUUGUUAGGCCAAUCCCAAUGGAUAGUUUCAUUUUGAUGUUUUCGAGUGUGCCACAUCAGCAAAUUACAUGUGAUCAGCGUUAUCAAGUCGUCUGACUGAUCAUGGUUAGUAGGGCUUAUUGGUGCCAUGGUGAUCAGUUAUGCACUGCAAUUAGUUUGUCUGGUCGGUGCCAUGUGACUAGGGUUGAUUAGACGAUGAAAACCAUUUGUUUAAUGUCCGAAAGUUGCAUCUUUGCUUUGCCACCCUUUGUUAGAGUAAUGUGGCCAUGUCCAUCUGGUUAAUGCUUGUUGACCAUAAUGUUUUUCCUAAACCUUAACCACUAAUGGGGUGUAGAAGAGUACUCAACAUUGGUGCGAGCUUUGCUGUAAGGGCCUGUUUGUUUCCCUGUUCGCGUGGCAACCUGCGAUGGACGCGCGAUUCGCAAUCGCCCGCAGCGUGGAGUCCGAAAAAAAUGAACUGGAGCCUACGAUUCUCAAAAUGCAGCCGCAGAGCCGUGUUCGCUCAAUCACGACGCGCGAUUAAGAAUCACGGAAACAAACAGGGUCUAAGAUAAAGAUAUGGUUGCAGCAAACGGCGAAAAGUUUUUCCUUUUCCUUUUCGUCAAUUUUUGGAGAACUUGUCAAGAGUGUAGUAUCUCACAUUUGUGCUGCAUUGAACUGCUGUGAAAUUGUGGACUCUCUGAGCUUCAUCAUCCUACCUUCAGUCAUGCAUGUGUUCUGUCACAUGCUGGUUUCAACACUAAGUUUCGUAUUUCAUCUUUUUAGAUCGUACAAAAGGUGGCUUCAUGCGCAUAGUUGAUUUUGAUCUUGCAGGAUCCUCUGGUGACUAAAGAUGCAAGCUUGGUUCCGCUGUUGGGGAUUGAUGUCUGGGAGCAUGCAUACUACCUGCAGGUAAUCUUGUUGAUGCUCCUAAACUGAUAAUGACUUAACACUGUUGCCUGAGUCAUAUGGAAAGACCGCAUCAAAUAUUGUUACUGACUCCUUGCAUCUUGCCAUCAUAUUGGUUAAACAACCCCUAAUAUUAGCAACUUAUGAAUUUAUUAUAUCAUUAUUGUGGUUUAUAUAUCAAAGGGAAUUUGGUUUUUCUGCCCUUACUAUAGAGUCUAAUUAUGAUUUUACCCCUAUUACCCUCGUGCUUUAAUUUCAAGCUGCUGUUUGCCCGUUUUGGACGUUACUUAUCGAUGGAUUAAGUGAUGAAAAAUAGAAAAAAUAAAACAAAGAAUGCCAAGUACCAAAAUUCCCCUUAUCUUUUCACCCUCGCUCCUCACUCGUUCAGUCCAAGGCCACAUGUUUUCUGUUCCCAGGCGGCGGCGGCUGCUUGGAGAGGUGCGUGGAGUGGCAGCGGCUCGCGCGGCACAGGGCAGGCUGAGUCUUAUUGGGUGUGGGGUGCUGCGGCAGUGUCAAAUCCCGACCAUGCCGUGGUGUGUGUGGCGCGCUGCGGCAGUGUCAAAUCCUGACCACGCUGUGGUGUGUGUGUCCACAUCGCCUGACAGCGCACAGGCUUUCCAAUGGGGACAACAAACAAGUGGGAGAGGGAGCUCUUUUGCUCUCGCUCACUGAUUCUUGGCUGGAGCUGCUGUAGGUGCGAGCGCCCUCCUCCACCGGCAGGUGUUGGUGUGGUUAGACUGUUGCCCCUGGGGGCCUGGACCAAGCUCAAGGCUCAAGCAUUAGCUGACUGAGGAAGUCCGAUUGUAGUGUCCUGGCCAACUGACAGUUCUUCCUGUCUGUCAUUAACCGGAUGAACCAGAUCAUGUGGAGCUGGUGGAUCUCGCAAGUGGUAGACGCUUAAGAGUAAGUUCUGGUUAGGCGGAGGUCACGGGCUGUGUUGAACUUGUACUUGUGGUAAUUAAUCGAUUAAUUAAUUACAAGAGACAGGAGCAGAUUGUUUUGCUUUUUUACUCAUUUCGACGAUUGAGCGAGAUGGCAGUCUGUUUUUUUUCCUGGACGCAUGUCAACCAUUUCACCUAAUUGCUCGGUGGUGAAAUGAAGUGUGAGUGAUUGCACACUAGUUGAUUUUCCAAUUUGAUGUUAAAAUAAUGGUAAAAUCACAUGGUACUCAGAAAGUUAUAUGUAAAUUUGUAUGGACAAACUCUUUUUACGUCUAAAUUGACACCGUUAAGUCCUUUUAAUAGAAUAGGAGAAAACUCGAUCUUUAAUUUGAAAACACAGGGGUAAAAUCAUAAAGUUAUAGAUGGUAAAAUCACCAUUUGCAUUGGAAGCGGUGGCAUGACCACAAAAGCAGCAUACAUCUAAGUAUAUAGAAGUAACAGUUGAAUAGAAUUCUCGGAUAACUUGUCAUGCAUGUAGAAGGUCAAUUUGACAAAGAUAUUUCGAAGGUGAUUGCAGUUUUCGCUGAAAUACAAGAUAAUCUUUAUUUUAUCCUUUCUGGUCUAUGGGGAGCCAUGGCCCCCCCAGCUCUAACAACGAAUUGAAAUUGAUCUUGUGUUCUGCAUUCUGAGUAGACUUUGGUUCAAAUUCAUUUGUCUCCCAAUAUCAGUGUCAGUUUUCUCGUGAGUCAGUCUUGAAUAGACUUUUUUUGUCUUGCUAAGUGAUCAUUGCUUUCUUGGUUGCAGUACAAGAAUGUUAGGCCGGAUUACCUGAACAACAUCUGGAAGGUGAUGAACUGGAAAUAUGCUGGAGAGGUGUACGAAAAUGUUCUUGCUUGAAUUGUCUUAAUGGACAAUACUCAUCUGUGCUGGUUUUCGGCUGUUUGAUCAUGUGAAAUAAAGAUGGACCUGUCGAGCUGCUGGACCUUGUGUACAUUUCGCUGAGGUAGACUAAUGCACAAUGGCCUGCUGAUUUUGCUCGUCCUGCUUGCGUGCUACUCUGUUCUCUGCUCCAGUGUCUGGCACUACCCUUUCGAGCAAGGUGAUGGCCAGGAGAGCUAUUCUCCAUUAAUAAAGCCUGCUGAGCGCCCGAUGUUUGCUUGAAUUUGUUGCCAUGCGUUUCCAGUUUUUCGCCUUUCCACUUGGAGCA
rnacentral:lncRNA from 1 species